GGAGGAGUGAGGCUGCCAAAAGGGGUUAGGGUUGAUUUUUUCUCCUCAAAUCAAGGGUUGGUGUCGGUGAUUGAGAGAUUGAGAGAUUGAGAGAGACAGUAACACACGCCUUCAUUUCCCAAUCUCAAAGUGAAACCCUAGCAGCCACACCACCAACUCUAGCCGAUCUCUGCAAUAGUGUCGGCUCCUGCUUCCGAAAACCAAAACCGCACAAACCUGGCCUCCAUUUCUGUAACUCGGAGCUUCGUCUCUCUGGGUCAGAUGGACUGGCCUAAACAUCAAAUUGUCAUCAAAUGGUGGAAAUAGUGGAGCGGUGUAGGUGUCUGAUAAGAAAGCAAAGGCCUGGUAUGCUUCCAAGGGAAACAUACUUUGAGACUUCUGCAAAACAAGGCUGCCAUGUAGAUGAUGCCUUCCAGUGUAUAGCCAAAAACGCGCUGAAGAAUGAACCUGAAGAAGAAAUGUACACAUUGAUGGGAAAGAGGUGGCUCAAAAGCGAAGAAACAUGGUGACUUUGAGGAGGAAAAGAAAAGAGGAGAAAACACGUUUGAGAGAUUAACAGAGAAAGCGUAAGAAACAGAUGAAGGGAGGAGAUUGAGCUGAAUGAUCUCGGUCAAGCAACAAUCGUAAUUGAAUUUAGAUCAUUGGAGGGCGAAGUUGGUUCCUUGACAUUUUGAGUGAACUACUAUUGCUCAAACAAUAUGGAACCAGCCGAGUAAGAAAUAAAGGCUCCACAUCAUUCUUUGGUAUUCUUUUUAUGGUUUCUAUUUCCUUGCUGAGAAAGGAACAUUUGUGGAACUGGAUGGGAACCUUCAUUCUUUGUCAUGUAACUUUUUAACAAGACACUGCCAAUGUUGUGGAUGACAUUAUUUUGCUUUGCUGGCUGCUAAUUUGUUGUGUUUAAUUCUUCUUUGUAGCUGAAGUUUUCUUUCUCAAAGCGUUGACCGACUGUUGUACUCAUAUCUGCGUUUCAUUUUGUAAACUUUUUUCCAUACUUCCAAGUGUAUGUUUUGGAAUGGUGAAAUUUUUGUGAUGGUUUCAUACUCUGCUGUCUUCAAUGCACUGUCAAAUCUUAUUCUAAGGAUGUUGUUUGAAUAUGAUUUGUUAAGACGUCCCAUGAUUCACAA